GACUUCCUAGUGCAAUGGUUAUCACAGCGGAUUUUGAUUCCGCCUGUGAUUUUGAUUCCGCUAAUCUGAGUUCGAUUCUCGGGGAGGUCU
rnacentral:tRNA from 1 species